GCUCAACCGGGGAGGGUCAUUGGAAACUGGGGAACUUGAGUGCAGAAGAGGAGAGUGGAAUUCCACGUGUAGCGGUGAAAUGCGUAGAGAUGUGGAGGAACACCAGUGGCGAAGGCGACUCUCUGGUCUGUAACUGACGCUGAGGCGCGAAAGCGUGGGGAGCGAACAGGAUUAGAUACCCUGGUAGUCCACGCCGUAAACGAUGAGUGCUAAGUGUUAGAGGGUUUCCGCCCUUUAGUGCUGCAGCAAACGCAUUAAGCACUCCGCCUGGGGAGUACGGUCGCAAGACUGAAACUCAAAGGAAUUGACGGGGGCCCGCACAAGCGGUGGAGCAUGUGGUUUAAUUCGAAGCAACGCGAAGAACCUUACCAGGUCUUGACAUCCUCUGACAACCCUAGAGAUAGGGCUUCCCCUUCAGGGGCAGAGUGACAGGUGGUGCAUGGUUGUCGUCAGCUCGUGUCGUGAGAUGUUGGGUUAAGUCCCGCAACGAGCGCAACCCUUGAUCUUAGUUGCCAGCAUUCAGUUGGGCACUCUAAGGUGACUGCCGGUGACAGACCGGAGGAAGGUGGGGAUGACGUCAAAUCAUCAUGCCCCUUAUGACCUGCGCUACACACGUGCUACAAUGGGCAGAACAAAG
rnacentral:rRNA from 1 species